rnacentral:rRNA from 1 species
GAUGAACGCUGGCGGUAUGCCUAACACAUGCAAGUCGUACGAGAGUUUUUAACUCUAGUGGCGGACGGGUGAGUAACACGUGAGAAUUUGCCUUUAGGAGGGGGACAACAAUCGGAAACGAAUGCUAAUACCCCAUAUGCUUUCGAGUGAAAUGGAUUUUAUCCGCCUAGAGAGAAGCUCGCGGCUGAUUAGCUUGUUGGUAAGGUAAGAGCUUACCAAGGCGACGAUCAGUAUCUGGUUUGAGAGGACGAUCAGACACACUGGAACUGAGACACGGUCCAGACUCCUACGGGAGGCAGCAGUGGGGAAUUUUCCGCAAUGGGCGAAAGCCUGACGGAGCAAUACCGCGUGAGGGAAGAAUGCCUAUGGGUUGUAAACCUCUUUUUCAGGGAGGAAUCAAAUGACGUGUACCUGAAGAAUAAGCAUCGGCUAACUCCGUG